UUCUGAUGUGAUUCAGCAUGUGAGUAAACUACUUCCUGGGAAUUUAACAGAAGUGGGCUUGCCCACGUAAAUAUAGAACGUACUGUAGAUAAGGAUUAUAGGGGUAACAGAAGAAGGUACAAUUGGUUAAAAAGACAAAAUGACCAAAUGAGGAUUGCUUGGCUUGUUUAAACCCAACUAUAGCAUCAUCAAAGUGCAUGCAACAUGUGAAGGCACCAGAUUUCUUCAUCGUAUUACUUGAAGACAAAGCUGUUGGAACAACCCAUCCAUGUUGGUUAUGAAAAGAGCUCCAUUCUGUCUUUCCUAGCUGAUGUGCAUUUGAGGAAUUGGGGUGUGGUGGGACAUCCUUGAGUUGGAUCAGUUUUUUUUCAUCUUCAACCCAUUUUCAUCAGGUAUGGGUAUGAAUCUGUGGUACAGCUUCAUCAUCUAUGUUACGUACAAUGCUUUGAGAGCCGUUCAGUGGGGAGAAGUUCACCAGAGAUCAGGCCACGGUCUACAUUCACAUACACUCAUGCAUCCAGAGAAAUGUGGCAUAAAGAGAGGCCUGGUGGAGAGAAAUCUCACCUGCAAUUCAAGCGGAUUACGCUGCCCUUUUGUUUGCUCUCGUUUGGUUGCGGGGGGAAUGUGCUCCACUCUGACCUGGGGCCACUCAUCCAAUCAGCUCACUAUCUGCUGCAAGGGGCCUCCAUAAUAGUGACAUUUUUCCACCUCGUCAAUAAAGUGGUGAAAGCCACCCUCCACCCGCUACUUGACCAUUUAACUUCUUCCUGAAAAGGCCCUUUCUUUCUGUCUGUCUCUGUGUCUGACUGAAAUCAAUAAAGGCAGCGCGAGGAAAGAGGCCGAUCCAACAGCUGCAUUAACUGGUGGUCUCAACUUGGGUACAUUGAGGGCUGCUGGCAGAGGAGAGUUGGAAGCUCCCGUCUCUCAUUCAUACAACGGUGCAAGAAUUCCGCUUUUGGUUUACGCCAAAUGUUGCCGUCUUGUAAUGCGGUGGAGAAAAUACCAAAUUAAAAAGUCUCACCAACAAACACGAAAGGCUUCACGCACGCACACGUAUCAGAGAGAGAGAGAAAAAACCCCAGACAAUUUUAAAAUAUUCAUGCGGAGAAAAAGGUGAAAAUCAUAUGCAAAAAAACACAUUAGCACAUAUAUAAACUCUGCAGUCUCUUAUGAUCAUUGCUUGCCAUGACUCAUUUAGCAGCUGCAUCCACACAUCACCACAUGUCUGCAGUGAUUGACAUAAUGGCAUCAGAGUGAGAACAAAAUGUCUUCCAAUAAAGGAGCAGGAGGGAGAAAAUGAGAGAGAUGGGUUACAACUCUGCCCGUGCUGAAAUGAGUGUAGUGCUUUGUUUGGUUAUGCUGUCUGAGCUGAAAUUGAUUUCUGUGAGAAGCAUGCACCAAAGAGCCUCUGCUUUCAGAUGAAAUAAAUAACAUACUCUUGUGAAGAUGGGAGGGUCUGUGGAAGAAGGAACAGAAGGUGGAAAAUGGGAUCAGGGAGGAAGGCAAGAAACAAAGAUGGAUAGGGUCAAAAUGAUUUUAUGAGGGGAAAGAAAAGCUGGGAUGGAAAAAAAAAAUGGAAGGAAACGUCUAAAUGUGCCAUACUGAAUUUCAUGUGUUCAGUCUAGUGCGGCACCGAAGAGACACAGCCUGGGAGACAUCUGGAGUAGAGGAGGAUAACAGCCACACUGUGCUCUCCAACCACAGACAACAUGAUGAGGGAUUAAACUUCAUUGCAACAUGUUAUGAAGAUGGGGAGGACCAGACAUUGCGGUCUGAGCCAGCGUCUGGACAUCUGGGUUUUCGGAUUGGUGCCAGAGAGGGAGGAGAGCAGACCUAGUCAGACGUCCCAGAGUGAUCAAUACCUGUAUUGAUCAGGCUUUGUGAGAGUGAUCCGUCUAAAACCCAGAACAGCCUAGAGCUCAGAGGUGGGAGGAGCGAAAGAGAGAGGCUGCAUAGAGGAUGGAGAAGGAGAGCGAGUCUGCAGCCACAGUGGAAAGGAGAAGAGGUGCAAGGUUGGAAGAGACUGAGAGAGAGGCGGACACAGACAUGGAGGCAGGUGAGGAUGCAGAUUUUGGGAAAUGCUGCCAGGCCGCGGGGACUGAGGAAGACAAAUGAAAGACGCUCUCAAUAGAAGACGUUGACGUGAUUUGUAGUUUGUUUUGGGACAAAGGAGUUUGAGUGCACACUACUGCUGCUCUGAAUUCAGUUGCUGCAAAAAUGUCAAAACUAAUAUUUCCUGUAAAGUUCUUAACAUCCAGAAGAGGAAUAAUUCCCCAUCACCACCAUGGAUAAAGAAUUACACAAAAUGUCUGAAUGUAAAGGAAAUGUUGACGCCAAAAGACAAACAUGGCAGCAUGAGGAGUCUCCAAAGUAAAGGAUUUCUGCUGUUUUGCACACAUUUGGAUUUGACUGGCUUUUGGAAUGUUUUUCACACUCUGGGAAUUCACCAAAUUGGAUGCAAUAUUUACAAUUAAAUAGGAGAUUUACUCAAGCGGUGACUCACUGAAUGACUCAACACAAGUUCAAGGCCACAAUCCGCCCCGCGCUGGAGAACAAAUCAAAAGCUUUUGGCGUCAUCCCCUCGUGCUGUGGGGAAAUCAAGUUUCAUUGAUUGUUUUUAAAUAAGAUGUGUUGUGCAUAAUUGAGGAUCUGAAGGAAGAGCCAUUUCCUCAAAUGAACUGUGGGGAAAGACAUUGAUGCUCUUGAACUCAUGUUACAUUGGAGACUAAGUGUGGAAGCACCCAGUGAAAAAAAAGGUUCACAUUUCUGAGCGAGUUAAAUAAAAACUAUCAAUGUGCUGAUUUAAGACAAGAAGAACCUGAAAACAGUUUUACUAAAGACAUAAAGAAAAACACACAUUGCACAUCCUUGAGGAUGAAGGACUCAAGGUGCCUUGCCAAAGUACUGUUGGUUGAGCUUUUGCACACCUUGUCUGUCACCAUACAAACACAAAAUUCAAUACAUUUUGUUUUGAUGUUAUAUGACAGACAAAACGAAAGUAAUGGAAAAAGGUAUUUGUUAAAAAAUAUUUAACAAAUAAAAAUCUGAGAAGUGUGGAGUGUUUUUGUAUUCAGCUUCCGCUUACUCGAUAAUUGCAGAGCAACCGUUCACUGUAAUUGUUGUUGCAGGUCAUUUGUGGUGUGUCUUCAAUUGGUUUUGGAAAUUUAGAGACGACAUUUUUGCGUUUUUCUGAAACAGAUUGGCUCAGAUUGGAAACGUAGCAACUGCCAUGUGUAGCCUCAGAUUCUAAAUUGGACAUAGGGCUGGAUUUUGACUGGGACAUUCUCACAAUGAUCUUAGCCACUCCAUUGCUGUUCUGGCUGUGUGUUCAGGUUGGUAUCCGGCAAAAAAGAUAAACGUACAGCCCAGUUUCAGGUGUUUUGCAGCCCUUAACAGAUUUUCAUCCAGAACUGCCUUGUAUUCAGCUCCAUUCAUUCACCCUUUAACUCUCAUGAGCUUGUAAGUCACUGGUGAAGAAUAGCCUACCCUAAGCAUUCUGCUGUUGUGACCCUGUUUUACAAAGGUGACAUGCAGUGUUAGGUUUAUGCUACACAUACCAUUCUGAAUCUAGACCAAUAAAGCAUUUUUUUCCAACAUCUUCGCAAAGGCCCCUUCCAAGCUUGUGGCAAAGUGCAAGUGAGAUGUACUUUAACACUGGCUUAAUUACUUCUACUUUUCCAUACAUACCAGAUUUGUAGAGCGCACAAACAAUGAUUGUCCUUACUCUUUUAUUAUGAGCUGUGGAUCACUGCAACUCCUCCAGAGUUACUAUGGGCCUCUUGGAUGCUCCUCUAAAUAAUGUUCUCUGUAAUUUUAAUUUCAAUGCUAAGUCUUGGCGGGGUUGCAGCCGUGCCAUAACCCCAUCAAAUGAAAGGUUAGGCUACAGAUAGCAUUUUCAAAUGAAAAGGUGCUCAUGGUGAUUUCUGAAGACAACUAUAUGGACUAGAUCUGAUUGAUCUUAUCAAAGAAAAUUGGACUGAAUAUAACACAUGCUACACUUUUUCUCUUAUUUUUCUUUGUACAAUACAAAACAUGCUUUUAUUCUACUUCAUAGUUAUGCACUAUUUUGUGUUGGUAUUAAACACGGUAAACUAAAGACUGGUUGCAAUGUGACAAAAUGUCAAAAUUGUUAAAGGGUAUUAAUAAUUUUGAAAGGCACUGAACUUUUGAAACAUCCUCAGUUAAAGUCUAACACACACAUUAUAUGAGAGAAUCUUCAUAUAUUUUCUCUAUUUGCCUGUCGGAUAAAAACAAGGAAAUAGGAGAAAUUUGCUGAACAACAUAUCUAAAUAAACUGGAUUAUUUUUAUUGACAUCAAAGUAAGAGCUCCAUAAGUUUUGCAACAUGUGCAAUGAAUAUCAGUCGUCCUGAGUGUCAAACAUUUUCCUGGCAAUUAGGACAAUUCAAAUGAAAACUCACACAUGAAUGAAUUAUAGUGGACAAGUGCUGUGUCCCAAUGAGAGCCAGGAAGUAAUAGUUGAUAUAAAGUGCAAUCUUGUGCUGCACUUGAGGUGCAAUUUAAAUCAACUACAGAGCGGAUGAGGGACAGGCAUCUGAGAGCAGGGGACUUAAAGUUGCAGCUUAACUUAAGAGCGGUAAUUUACAAGUCAGCUUUGUUCUUUGCACACAAUGUACAAAUGAUGUAUUCCUGAAAGGAUAUAACUAAAAGUUGUAUUCAUUGUGGUUGCAAGGUAAAUUGCUCAGAGCUUUUAGAUAGCAACGUUAACAGAACAAAUGAUGGAAGAAGUUGAAUUCCUAUUUGUUUGUUGUGGAGUUUUCUAGCUACUCUUUGUGCAUAAAGUCUGGGAUUUAAAA